GGGGGCAAAGUGGGCAGAAUCACAGAGCUGUCUUUGGGCAGCCCCCUUCUCAUCCAAUAGGUUUAUAUAAGCCCCCAGGACCAACUCCCUGCAUCUUGUGUCCUCAUUCUAACUCCCACCCCCAGGUCAGCUGACAAAAGCAGGGUCCAGCUAUCUAGAAGCUUCAGGGAGACAGAGAAGGGGCUUGGCUGAAGCACAAGCAUGUUCUAGGGCCCUAACAUACACCACCACACACACACACACACACACACACACACACACACAAAUCAUAGAACCUUAAAUACCCAUAAUCCACAAGAUAUCUACAUGUUUAAGCCUUCAGUUCAUGACUCACGCAGAAAAAAUCUUCAGGACAUGCUUAAAGCUAUAUAACCUUUAAAACACACACAUAUAUAUGCAACACAAGGCCACUGCAUAUAAAUAACUAUGCAGUCUUCCGUAUAAACCCGAGCAUGGUAAAUAAGCACCAGGAUCUACAUAUCUGUAUAACUUUCAGGCUAUUCUCAAAUGUGUUAUAUGACCUCUAGGAUAUACCUAUGUGUUAUACAACCCUCUGGACAGGCACCUAAUAAUACCACCCUCCUCCCCUCAGUAAACAUGUUCCUUGAUUUCCAGGUCAUACACACAUGCUCAAUAACCACAGUGACUGCAAUCAUGUGAACAUGACCUUAUACAGUGCCUAGUAGCUAGAACCUAGAACCAAGAAUAUGACAAUAACUUCCAGAGUCACCCUGUCCACGGCAUCCAUUUAACAGAGCAGCAAACCGAGGCCCCACUUGUGCCUGGUGACACUCUGCACUGGAAUCAGAGCCAGGACAAGGACCCUAAGUCUCUCCAUGCACAGUGUUGGCGACCGCAGCCACUGUACAUAUAUGUUGCCAGACUCUCCACAUACGUGUUACAUAACCUCAGCACACACAGGUUACAUAAGCUUUCUACAUGCAUGCACGGAUUGUAUAACUCCCCACACCCUGCAUGUUGCAUGGCCCCUCCCCCUGGAGCCUGAUGCAGCUCCCAACACACUGACACAGUGACCUUGGCCAGGGUCACAGUCAAAGACAGCUCUGUGUUCCACGCUCCCUGGGGACUACCCCUGUCUGAUUUCUACAACCGUUGGGAGGUCAGAUCUCCCGCCCACCUCCAAGAGGGGAGGGUGUGGGCAAACUCCCGGGCCACCUUAGCCCCAGUUGAGCUGGCGGUCCUCACCAAUUACAAGAUUUACACCUUCUAGGUGCAAUCCCAGGGACAGCCACAAGGAGGCGCAGGGACAUGGGGGAGGGGAGGGGCUGCAGCUCUGGGGGACCAGGAACCAGGAUUCCCGCCUUUCUCCGGUUAGGAGCAGACUAUCCCAGACCCACAGAAGUCUGGGCAGGGACUACAGAGGCUACCAGUAAGGGCGACACAGUGACACGUCAGAUAUUCUUUUUCAGAGCUCCCCCUGGGGUGAGGCUUGGAGGGAGAAACCCCUAGUGCCCUACCCAACUUCCAGCCCCAUCCACUUCCACCACCCCUACAGGGACCCAGUCUUGGGCCCCAGGGCUUUGCCUGGCCAGGCCUCUGGCCUCCUGGCUCAAGAUCUGGUCUCCUAGGCAACAGCCACUCUGCUCCCCAGAGCACCCCCUCCUCCACCCUAUCCCUGGCCAUAGGCACAGGCUGUGCCCAGCUCCAGGGGCACCACACCAGAGCUCUGAGCCACUUGGAGUUGACCGGAGAGGUCGAGACCCUCUGGGCUCCUCAAGGGCCAUGCAGAUCAGAGGUAGCCCAUCCCUAGCAAGGUGUGCAGGAUUGAUGCCUCCUCCACGUGUGAGCAAAACCUUCACAGUUGGCAUUCACUUCCACUUCCUGGGAGGAGCCCCAUGGCAAUGCAUGCCCUUGCUCAUGAACAAGGAAGAGCUUGUGGGGCUCCCAAAAGUUUCCAAAUAUAAGCGUGGGCUGUGACCAACAGUUACUGGUGCAUGUGCCAUUAACUGUCAUGUCACAUGCACCAUGGCAUGUGGACCUCACACUGGUGGUCAGAUGUGAACAGGCUGGCAAGGAAAGGAAGCAAAUGGCAAGGCUGUUGGAUUCCACAUGCUCAGAACCUGCUCAUCCAGCCUUUGCCAGGAGAAGAGAGGAGGCAAGAGCCUAGUUGUGGAGG